UACGUAGGGGGCAAGCGUUGUCCGGAAUCAUUGGGCGUAAAGAGCGUGUAGGCGGUCCGGUAAGUCCGCUGUGAAAGUCCAGGGCUCAACCCUGGAAUGCCGGUGGAUACUGCCGGGCUAGAGUCCGGAAGAGGCGAGUGGAAUUCCUGGUGUAGCGGUGAAAUGCGCAGAUAUCAGGAGGAACACCGAUGGCGAAGGCAGCUCGCUGGGACGGUACUGACGCUGAGACGCGAAAGCGUGGGGAGCAAACAGG
rnacentral:rRNA from 1 species